rnacentral:rRNA from 1 species
CAGCGGCAGACGGGUGAGUAACACGUAGGUGAUCUACCCCAGAGACGGGGAUAACGGGUGGAAACAUCCGCUAAUACCGGAUAGACUUGUUCGGUCAAAGGGACAAGGAAAGGCUCCGGCGCUCUGGGAGGAGCCUGCGGCCCAUCAGCUAGUUGGCGGGGUAACGGCCCACCAAGGCAAAGACGGGUAGGGGGUGUGAGAGCAUGGCCCCCCACAAUGGGACUGGAACACGGCCCAUACUCCUACGGGAGGCAGCAGCAGGGAAUAUUGCACAAUGGACGGAAGUCUGAUGCAGCGACGCCGCGUGGAUGAAGAAGGCCCUCGGGUUGUAAAAUCCUUUACAGGGGGAAGAGGAAGGACGGUACCCCUGGAACAAGUGUCGGCUAACUACGUGCCAGCAGCCGCGGUAAGACGUAGGACACAAGCGUUAUCCGGAUUUACUGGGCGUAAAGCGUCUGCAGGCGGACAGGUAAGUUGGGCGUGAAAGCUCCGGGCCCAACCCGGAGAGGUCGUUCAAUACUGCGUGUCUAGAGGGUGUCCGAGGGGAGUGGAAUUUCCGGAGUAGCGGUAAAAUGCGCAGAGAUCGGAAAGAACACCAAUGGCGAAGGCAGCUCCCUGGGGCAACCCUGACGCUAAGAGACGAAAGCUAGGGGAGCGAACAGGAUUAGAGACCCUGGUAGUCCUAGCCCUAAACGAUGGAUGCUGGAUGUGGGG